UACACAUAUGUGUUUUAGUAACAUUCAUCUUGCAACACUUGUUUAAUAGUUACUAAUAUAGAGAUUUUUCUAACAUUUUUUAGUAAGUGUUACAUUAGUGUCACUCUUUUUCGGUGGUGUUUAUAUCAAAACACAUUCAUAUUCUACUGAAACAAAAAAAACAAAAAACAUUUCAACUCUUUUAACACACACUCUCUCUCUCUCUCUCGUCUUCGAGCUAACCAGAAGCAAACGUUCGAACAUGGCCUCAAAGCUAAAUGUGCGAUUACAAUCACAGGAUUGAAGAAAUGGAUAUUAGUUCCUCAAUGAUACAGAAGCCGGACAGUUUCCCGUCACGCACAACCAAACUAUUACUGCUUUAGCUCUGAAAGUGGGUGGCUAUCAGAGCUAUUAGAAACCUGUAAUAGUGCAAAAGCAGACUUAAAGAAUCGUCCUUUGCAUUAAAAUUGUUGCACAAUACUGGUGAUGAGAUAAGGAAGGGAUGUCUGCAAUCUUGCUGGCAGAACAUUAUGAAGAUGAUUGCGGAUAAGCAACGGCACAAGACAAAGGAGAUUAAAGAGAAGGCUUGCAUUUCUCAUGUGCAGCUUGAUGACCUUAAAGAAAAGGGGGGAAAUUGUGUUGGAUGAAAACUUAAUUGUAAUCAUUUUUGUAUGUAAUUCAAAUUGUGUUGUAUAGUUCAAA